UUUAAAAAAGUGCAAACAUAUUUUUUUGAAACAAAAAUAGUGUUAACAUGUGGUAAACUAUGGUCAUUUUUAAACUAAUUUCUCCAGUAAACAAAUUAAACCAGCCACAUGCAAGGUCGGGUCCUGAGCUCUACAUAUAGUUAUAAAUCGAAAGAGUUGAUCUUAAGAUUACUAAGUAAAACCAAGUAUCACAGUAAGAAGAAGAAGACCCAAAUAUGUAAUUGGAAUGUAUCAAGUCCUGAAGAAUCAUCUUUGGUGUUUUACAUUUAGUGGGCGGACACAUGACCACCAGUACAUCACUACCCAUUUUCUGACCAAUUGUUUCGUCCAAGCACCAUCAGCUGCUCAUUACGGAGAGUCGAAGAGCAUUGAAGCAAAGCGGCAAUAAGCUAACUCUUCGGCUGAUCUCCAGCAACAGAGGCAGCAAGGUCAAGUCAAGCCUGACAAACAUGUCCUUCAGAGUGUAUGACGUGUGUUGUUCCUGUGUGACGGCACGCCAAAGAGUUCCCGCCCAUCUCGCCGCUGGUGUCGUACAUAGGGUGGCGGUAGGGCAUCACGGCGAGCCACCGUGGUGGUCGGUGGCGACCUGGUUGCUGAGACACCAAAGUGUGUGUCAAUUGUUAACGACGCCAAAGUGCCUGUCAAUAAAAUUUACUGGAAAUACCAGUCUAUAUAGCUCAACAUCAGGAGAUGCAGGACCUCAUCAUAUAUUGGGUCUUUAACAUAAUCAAAUACAUGGUCAGAGUGUUCCUGAUGUUGAUGGUUUUUGAAAUCUGUUUCUGCUAUUCUAUAAGUUAGCCAUGAACAAGGUUUGUUAUUCUAUAAGUUAGCCAUGAACCAGGUUUGCUAUUCUAUAAGUUAGCCAUGAACAAGGUUUACACCAUCUGUGAAAUGACAGUAAUUCUGGAAAAUAAAAAUAAUAAGAGCACCACUACAGCUAGUAAGAAAAUCAUGACAUGAUAUAGACGGAAAGAAUGCUUAGUACAGCUGCAAUUAAAGGGUUUGCUUUCAGUCAAGGAAUAUAGCAUGACGUCAAUAGCGAAACGUGAUGAUAUUUGUGGAAAUAAAAUAACAAGAGCACUGCAACUGCUAGUAAAAGCAAAUAUUAUCCAACAUGAUAAUUUCAACCAGCACAUCAGUUGAUUUUGUAAGACGGAACUUUUAUUUAUCUUCACAAGUAAUAGUUUUUUCCAAAGAUGAUUCUAUUGCUAUCUGGGCACAUAGAUCAUGGUCAGUCAAUGCAUAAUGUGCAAAAAGUCAAAUAAUUUAAGAAAACAUUGAAUACAGAAGUACACAUAAUAAAUCAAAAAAUACCUUGUGGGAGAUAAACAAUAUACAAUUCUUUCGGAGCAUCAUGUAAACAUUAAACUCUAGGCCAAAUUAACGCAAGCAAGAGAUGCUUUCUAUGAAUUAGCAUUGUGCUCCGGACCUGUGAAUGCUAUAUCAUUAGAGAAUAAGAACUCAAAAAAAUAUAAACCUUGUUUCGUGGUUGAUAUGAUCAACACCACAACAAUAAUGUACUGUACAUAAUUAGAAGUUUAAAAACAUAUCAAAAUAUAUUACUUCAUGGGAAUCGUUUGGGUAAAAUUUUGGGGAGAAAUGCCUUAUAAAAAUACGAAGAUAUGUUUUACUUCUAAUGAGAGGGAACAGUCACCCUAACGCUUAGUUUGUGCAAUGUAUGUAAAAAGUUAGUAAGCAGCAGAAUCCUUGAAAAUACUCUUCCAAUGGAUCGGCAAGCGUAAAGCAUAGACAUAUUACAACCUUGUCAGCAAAUUGAGAAAUAUUGGGUAUCGCAAUUCCUAUGAGCAGAAUUGGAGUUUCUGGAAAAGAGAUUUCUGAAAUAUUGAAGAUGCCUCUUUGCCAGAAUGGCUAAUCAAUAUGUUUAUAAAAUAGAUUGAACAGUAACAUAGUGGAAGUAAACCAAACCUUCUUAUACUAACUAUGUCAAGUUUCAGUGUUACAUGAACACAACUCAACUACGGCGACUCUGUAUUGUCGUCAGCCGGUCAGAGACCACCCAAUACAGCCUCGUUCCUAAAGUACGUCAAUGGAAUUGAUUAAAUUAAC
rnacentral:lncRNA from 1 species